GCGGGCGUGGCGGAACUGGUAGACGCACUGGAUUUAGGUUCCAGCGCCGCAAGGCGUGGAGGUUCGAGUCCUCUCACCCGCACCA
rnacentral:tRNA from 1 species